rnacentral:rRNA from 1 species
UACGUAGGGACCAAGCGUUGUUCGGAUUUACUGGGCGUAAAGGGCGCGUAGGCGGCGUGACAAGUCACUUGUGAAAUCUCCGGGCUUAACUCGGAACGGCCAAGUGAUACUGUCGUGCUAGAGUGCAGAAGGGGCAAUCGGAAUUCUUGGUGUAGCGGUGAAAUGCGUAGAUAUCGAGAGGAACACCUGCGGCGAAGGCGGGUUGCUGGGCUGAUACUGACGCUGAGGCGCGAAAGCCAGGGGAGCGAACGGG